rnacentral:rRNA from 1 species
CGGACGGGUGAGUAACGCGUGAGAAUCUGGCUUCAGGUCUGGGACAACCACUGGAAACGGUGGCUAAUACCGGAUGUGCCGAAAGGUGAAAGGUUAACUGCCUGAAGAUGAGCUCGCGUCUGAUUAGCUAGUUGGUAGAGUAAAAGCCUACCAAGGCGACGAUCAGUAGCUGGUCUGAGAGGACGAUCAGCCACACUGGGACUGAGACACGGCCCAGACUCCUACGGGAGGCAGCAGUGGGGAAUUUUCCGCAAUGGGCGAAAGCCUGACGGAGCAAUACCGCGUGAGGGAGGAAGGCUCUUGGGUCGUAAACCUCUUUUCUCAGGGAAGAACACAAUGACGGUACCUGAGGAAUAAGCAUCGGCUAACUCCGUGCCAGCAGCCGCGGUAAUACGGAGGAUGCAAGCGUUAUCCGGAAUGAUUGGGCGUAAAGCGUCCGCAGGUGGCGAUGUAAGUCUGCUGUUAAAGCGUCUAGCUCAACUAGAUAAAAGCAGUGGAAACUACUUACGCUAGAGUGCGUUCGGGGCAGAGGGAAUUCCUGGUGUAGCGGUGAAAUGCGUAGAGAUCAGGAAGAACACCAGUGGCGAAGGCGCUCUGCUAGGCCGUAACUGACACUGAGGGACGAAAGCUAGGGGAGCGAAUGGGAUUAGAUACCCCAGUAGUC